AUUUUGUUGAUCACGUUGGGUGUAUUUUUAGUAUGUUCUAAAUAAUCAUUGUUUACCUUCCAGAAUGGACUCCAGAAAAAGAAAGCAGAGGCAAGAGGAGUCAGAUUCUGAUUCAGAAUCUGAAUCUGAACCAAGUGAUGAGAGCGAAGAAUCAUCACCUGCAGAGAAGGAGAAGAAAAAGAAAAAAACAAAAACAACACCAAAAAAAACACAACCAAAAAAGAAAAAAGUUCUCGUGGAGGAUUCACCUCCUAAAGAAGACCAAUACUUUGACGGGUACAGUACCUCGUAAG